CUUUAUCCUGGUUAGGGUUGCCAUUGUGGAUCCAGAAUACAGGAAUAUGUCCUAAAUUAGAGGGGGUUUGAGGUGACUUAUUUCAUCAUCAAAAAGUAAGUGCAUGUUGCCAUCUAUUGUCAAUACUUAAAACUGUGAUUUACCAGAAUUUUCCACUUCAUAAUAGACACUGGAAAGCAGUAUUAUCCAGUUUACUUCACACUUCACAUUCUGCUUGCAAAUUAAAAAUCAGAUUUUUAUUUCCCCCUUAAAACUGCUAUGAUUUUAGUACAGAUGCUUGUUCCUUAUUCUUAACAAAUUAGAUAAACUGAAAUCCAGUUUCAUGAAGAAAAAAAACCCAAAACCUUUAUUUACUAUGAUUGUGUUUGCAUUACUUCUCCAUCAGAGGGCUUGAAGAGCAGCAUUUCAAAAAAAAAAAUAAA